GUUGGUUCCAUAGUGGCUGGUGGAUUAGUUGUUUUGGUCAUUCUUGUUGUUCUAAUCUACUUUUUCGGCAUUCAAAAGAAAAAACAACAAGAUGAAAUUUCUGAAGAUUUUUCCCAGAAGAAAGUUGUAGCUACUGAUGUAUGGUAAAGACAAGUUUAGUUCACCUUCAGUUUUCUUCUUCAAGCCUCAUAAACCACUAAACGAUGACAAUGAUGGCUCAGACGCCACUGAGUCCACCUAGCUCUAAUAUUCAACUGAUAUUAAUUUUGCUUGGGACAGAAAAAAAAACGUGUUAGAAUCUGCCUCAUCGAUCGUCUAAGAGUGGUUCUUCACUUUUUUCAUAACUAUUAAAUGCAAAAUAAAAAACUUAAAGCUGAACCUC
rnacentral:sRNA from 1 species